AGGUAGCUUAGCCCUGUCAUUCUGUUCCAGGUUUUAUACACUAGGAAAAAUCAAUCUGUGAUUUAUUUUGACAUAAAUAGCACCUCCUGUCUGUUAUGAAUAACAUCCAUGUGAGUGCAACCUAAAUUACAACCAUCUCUACACCUACAUUUUCAUCUCUGAUAUCAAAAUUGCUUUGCUUGCACCUCUGCAGAACGGAGCGUCACUUGUUAAUCAAACACCUUUCAGGGAAGCAUUUGUGAACACACCAUCAAGGUAAAGCCAAACAUACAUGGCUUGUACCUCCUCUUCUUUGCUAAACUGGUGCAGCUGAAACAAAAAAAUACUUGUUUUUUAGCCUUCUAUCAACUGAAUGUCCUAGCUAGGAGUAAUACUAGUGAUUGGCUUUCAAAAUGAACAAGAGAAACUAAAUUUGCGCACCAAACAUGUUUAUUUAUCUACACUUUCACUAUGUGGAAUUGCAUACUAACAUACUACUCCCUCCGUCCAAAAUAUAUAAACCAAAAUAUAUCCAAUAAUGUUGUGAAGCUUAGCUUUGUGAAACUGCUCGACCAUGCUAAUAUAUUUAAUAAUGUUGUGAAGCUGACUACCAAUUUGAUGUGAAGCAUGCUUCAUAUUUAGUACAAACUAGUUAAGGACAGAUGCCUAUUUGCUAAAAUGGUGCUAUUGACGGCAUACUCUUGCUUUUUUGAGCUCUCUAUUAACUGAGGUACAACUACAGUAGUGUUUGACUUUUCAAAAUGAAGAGCAGAAAUUAAUUUUGUACCCCCAAACAGAGAUAAACAAGUUUAUUAGCUGACAUUAUCCAGGGAGUGCCAGGCACAAACAAGCUUCUGAGAAUGCAUUUUGUUAAGCUGGGUUCAACAAUGAUGGAAUCAGUGUAACCUGUUUGAUCAUUUCAUCUUAUUUUACCUUGUGCUGCACAUCAUCAUCCACAUCUGGCGCACAAUGUGAGAAGAGAACAUAAAUGAAGUAGCAUAACUUACUGCCUUUCUUUCUGGUGCUUGCAGGAAGCAGGUAUAACAUGCAGAUGAACGCUCAAAGAUGCUGAAUGAGUUGAAUAAAAAGUCUUCAUUCAAAACUAUUCAUAAACUGUUAAAGAAAUUUUGAGCAUGUUUGCUAUACAUACGAGAACGUAGACCGAGUGCUAGUAAGUCAUGGUCCAUUUGGGGUGAAAUGUUCCUAAUUAUUAAUUGCAGAAUGUUGGUGAAAGCUUUAGCGUUAAAUUAAUUUCAUUAGCAUUGGGAUGUGUAUGAUUUCGUUACUAACUUGAUGCCAAGGGAUGUGGUUCAAAAAGUCAACUUACAGUGACCAGCAGUCUAAAAUCAAGAUUAAGCACUGGCUCGGGUAAAGCUGCACUCCCCUAGCAGAGAUGCAUCUAGACCAUUUGUUUGACUGGGUAUUUUUGGUUUAUUUCUACAACCCGGCAGCUGGGUUAGUUGAUUUGUGCUUAUCCUUGUUUGUAGAAAUAAUUGUCUUUCUCUUGAGAAGGAUAGCAGUAGUAGGCAGGAGGGUAACAUAAAACGAUUACCUAGAGCCCAUGGGUCAUAAGACACAAGACAUCAUAUGUUGUGGCACUAGCAAAUUCAUUUCGCGGAGUUGCAGGUCGCCUGCAUAUACCUGGACAUGGAAAGGGGUAGAUCAUAUCAUAAUCCAAGGUCCUGAUGAACACACACACACACACACAUGUACAGUAAGGAAAUUGCAAAACUGUUGCCUCUGUGUGAGAAAUCUCCAUGGAUGUACAGAGUGUGUGUGUGUGUGUGUGUCUAAGCUGCUACCCCACUAGAGCACGUGAACAACUUCCAUUGCGCAUCCCCGAAGGAUGAGCAACGGAAUGGACACACCAGAUUUUUUUUCCUCUGUUCGAGUUCUUCCAUGGGGCUACUUAAUCACAUAUCCCAAAGAAAUGUUUCAUACUCCAAUGGCUUCCCUAUGAGCCAAGGAAUCCAACAAGAUGCCAAUAAACAUGCAUAUAUGUACAACAAGGAAAUUGAAAAAAAGAAGCACAAAUAUGAUAGCCUGCAGCAUGAAAAGGCACAUAAAUUUUGGUAAAUUAUUGUGUUUUUGUUCCACUAGAAUAUAAAAAUCAAGAUCUUAUUACUUGGUAGAAACACAAAAAUACUACUCCCUCCGAUCCAUAUGACCUGUCGCUCAAACGCAUGUAUCUACUGCUAGAUACAUCCAUUUGAACAAUAACUAAUAUGGAUCGGAGGGAGUACCAAAAAUCAAAUAGAAGGCCCUACACUCUCUCAUGAGCAUGAGAGCAUCUGCCCUUUCAUUCACUAACUAAAACAAAUGCUAACUAAUUACUCCCUCCUCAAGCAUCUCUUCUUUCACAUACAUUUUGAGACCUCAGCAGUUUGGCAAAAUUUAAUAGAUAGAAACAAAUAAUAUCAGUAAACUGUCUAGUCAGACCAAAACAACAUGAAAAAAGUUAAAGGUUUAAAAUAAAUUCUAUAUCUCAGGUACUUUUUUAUAUUUUUUGGAUGAGAAACUAUCAUGACAGAGUAGGGGAAAAAGAGAGGAAUUGACAAUAGAACGAUUACCGAGAGUUGACUAUGCAUCAGGAUCUAGGCACCUUCACAAGCAAGAAGUCAAAUGCAGCAGCAGCCCGCCUGUCACGAGCAAAGCAGGGCGGCUAUGUGC
rnacentral:lncRNA from 1 species